rnacentral:rRNA from 1 species
CAGCGCGGGGCAACCUGGCGGCGAGUGGCGAACGGGUGAGUAAUAUAUCGGAACGUACCCAAGAGUGGGGGAUAACGCAGCGAAAGUUGCGCUAAUACCGCAUACGAUCUAAGGAUGAAAGCAGGGGACCGCAAGGCCUUGUGCUCCUGGAGCGGCCGAUAUCUGAUUAGCUAGUUGGUGAGGUAAAGGCUCACCAAGGCGACGAUCAGUAGCUGGUCUGAGAGGACGACCAGCCACACUGGAACUGAGACACGGUCCAGACUCCUACGGGAGGCAGCAGUGGGGAAUUUCGGAUUGUGGUAGCAAGCCUGAUCCAGCAAUGCCGCGUGAGUGAAGAAGGCCUUCGGGUUGUAAAGCUCUUUUGUCAGGGAAGAAACGGCUGUGGCUAAUAUCCACGGCUAAUGACGGUACCUGAAGAAUAAGCACCGGCUAACUACGUGCCAGCAGCCGCGGUAAUACGUAGGGUGCAAGCGUUACUCGGAAUUACUGGGCGUAAAGCGUGCGCAGGCGGCUUUGUAAGUCUGACGUGAAAUCCCCGGGCUUAACCUGGGAAUUGCGUUGGAGACUGCAAGGCUAGAAUCUGGCAGAGGGGGGUAGAAUUCCACGUGUAGCAGUGAAAUGCGUAGAGAUGUGGAGGAACACCGAUGGCGAAGGCAGCCCCCUGGGUCAAGAUUGACGCUCAUGCACGAAAGCGUGGGGAGCAAACAGGAUUAGAUACCCUGGUAGUCCACGCCCUAAACGAUGUCUACUAGUUGUCGGGUCUUAAUUGACUUGGUAACGCAGCUAACGCGUGAAGUAGACCGCCUGGGGAGUAC